rnacentral:rRNA from 1 species
GACGAACGCUGGCGGCGUGCUUAACACAUGCAAGUCGAACGAGAUCCAUGGUGUAGCAAUACACCGGAAGAUCUAGUGGCGAACGGGUGAGGAUCACGUGAGAAACCUGCCCCAGACUUUGGGAUAACAAGUGGAAACGCUUGCUAAUACCGAAUGACGUCGGAGAACCGCAUGGUUCACUGACGAAAGGAAUUCCGGUUUGGGAGGGUCUCGCGGCCUAUCAGCUUGUUGGUGGGGUAAUGGCCUACCAAGGCAACGACGGGUAGCUGGUCUGAGAGGAUGAUCAGCCACACUGGGACUGAGACACGGCCCAGACUCCUACGGGAGGCAGCAGUGGGGAAUCUUGCGCAAUGGGCGAAAGCCUGACGCAGCAACGCCGCGUGCGGGAUGAAGGCCUUCGGGCUGUAAACCGCUUUCAGCAGGAACGAAAAUGACGGUACCUGCAGAAGAAGGAGCGGCCAACUACGUG